rnacentral:tRNA from 1 species
AGAUAUAACCUAUUAGUAAAGUGUUUCCUUUACCCCGAAAAUUUUUCCGGGCAAAUCAGGAUAUCCUGAU